ACUCUGUCUCUCUAGAUCAAUCACAAUGUGGCGGAUUCCCUGUCAUUCCCAACACAAAGGUACCUCACGAAAAAGUCUAUAAAAAUAAACAAACUGUUAAAAUUGAUUGCAAAGAUGGAUACACAUCUGAAAAAAAGACUAUAAAUGUAAGGACGAAAAUGGCAAACACCGUUACCAGCUUGUAGACCGCAAGGCGUUCAAUGUGAUCCUCCACACUAAAGUUGAAAAUGCAAUUGUUGAAAUCCCUUAUCAAAAUACAUAUAUAGAUGGAUUUGAAGUGAAUUAUGAAUGUCGCAAGUCCUUUGAAAUAGAGGGACUUAAAAAACUUACUUGUGAAAAUGGGAGUUGGACAACUCCACCACCAACAUGCAAACAGUACUGUGGGAAGCCUGAGGGCGCAGGGAAACAUUUCUGAUUCUUGACCAAGUGCUAGAGAGAUAUGAAAAUGGGAACCAAAUAGAUUAUAAAUGCAUUAGCCCAUACACAGGACCUAGAGGAAAUACAACUUGCAAGAAUGGAGAAUGGCACAUGCCAAUUGAGUGUAAAGCAAGCUGUCCUGACCCUCCUCCAUUAGUAAUGGAGAUUUCACCAUGGAAAAGAGAGAUGUUGAAGGUGUAAUUACAGAGGUGUCCUAUCAAUGCAGCAGACAGUAUACUCUGAGUUUCCAGGCAGCAUCAAA